rnacentral:rRNA from 1 species
GAUGAACGCUAGCGGCAGGCCUAACACAUGCAAGUCGAGGGGUAGAGGAAGCUUGCUUCCUUGAGACCGGCGCACGGGUGCGUAACGCGUAUGCAAUCUACCUUUUACAGAGGGAUAGCCCAGAGAAAUUUGGAUUAAUACCUCAUAGUAUUUUCGAAUGGCAUCAUUUGAUUAUUAAAGUACCAACGGUAGAAGAUGAGCAUGCGUCCUAUUAGCUAGAUGGUAAGGUAACGGCUUACCAUGGCAACGAUAGGUAGGGGUCCUGAGAGGGGGAUCCCCCACACUGGUACUGAGACACGGACCAGACUCCUACGGGAGGCAGCAGUGAGGAAUAUUGGACAAUGGGCGCAAGCCUGAUCCAGCCAUGCCGCGUGCAGGAAGACGCAUCUAUGGUGUGUAAACUGCUUUUGUACGGGAAGAAACACUCCCUCGUGAGGGAGCUUGACGGUACCGUAAGAAUAAGGAUCGGCUAACUCCGUGCCAGCAGCCGCAGUAAUAC